rnacentral:tRNA from 1 species
GGGGAUGUAGCUCAGUGGUAGAGCGUCCGCUUUGCAUGUGAAAGGUCCCGGGUUCGAUCCCCGGCAUCUCCA